rnacentral:rRNA from 1 species
UACGUAGGGGGCAAGCGUUGUCCGGAAUCAUUGGGCGUAAAGCGCGUGUAGGCGGCCCGGUAAGUCCGCUGUGAAAGUCGGGGGCUCAACCCUCGAAUGCCGGUGGAUACUGUCGGGCUAGAGUGCGGAAGAGGCGAGUGGAAUUCCUGGUGUAGCGGUGAAAUGCGCAGAUAUCAGGAGGAACACCGGUGGCGAAGGCGGGUCUCUGGGCCGAUAUUGACGCUAAGGAGCGAAAGCGUGGGGAGCGAACAGG